UACUAGAGUAGCACUCGCAUAUCAAUAAGCGGAGGAAAAGAAACUAACAAGGAUUCCCCUAGUAACGGCGAGUGAAGCGGGAAGAGCUCAAAUUUGAAAUCUUAAAGGGUUUCCCUUUACGAAUUGUAGUUUAAAGAAGUGUUUUCUGUUGAGGUUUUGGUAAAAGUUCUUUGGAAUAGGACAUCAUAGAGGGUGAGAAUCCCGUAUUUGACCUUUACUUUCAACUUUGUGAUACACUUUCAAAGAGUCGGAUUGUUUGGGAAUGCAGUCCAAAAUGGGUGGUAAAUUUCAUCUAAAGCUAAAUAUUGGCGAGAGACCGAUAGCGAACAAGUACCGUGAGGGAAAGAUGAAAAGAACUUUGAAAAGAGAGUUAAACAGUACGUGAAAUUGUCAAAAGGGAAGCGUCUGACACCAGUGUUGUUUUUCUGAAAAUCAAUUAAAGAACUGUUUAUGCUAAGCUGUUUAGACUUUAUCAGCUAACUGUUUAGUUUUGAGCUUUUCUUUAAUGCACUUUUUCAGUUAACAAGUCAACAUCAAUUUCUUUUGCUGUAAAAAAGCUUGAGGAAGGUGGCUUGAGAUUCGUCUUAAGUGUUUAUAGCCUCUUGCCUAUGCAGUCGGAGAGAUUGAGGUCUGCAGCGUAGAUCCUUCGGGGCUAAAUGCAUUUGUGCUAAGUUAUAGCAUUUUAUAGACAACUUGUUGACUAUGAUUUGUCUUGUAGCUUACUCGCUUAUGUUAUUUUACCUACGCUUAGGAUGUUGAUAUCGCGCUCUCACUG
rnacentral:rRNA from 1 species